AGCAGGGGGCAGCACAGCACUGGCACGGGCGGCUUGUCGCACAUGCGCAGUUGCAGCGGGCGCGGAGUUCGGACUUCUGUUUGUUGGGUUUGUUGUCGCUGGUGGUUUCUGCCAGUGGUCUCUUCUGGUCGUACAGCGUCUGUGAGCGGAUCCGUGGGCUUGUUAUCUCUGUCAGUCCUCGUCUGUUGGAGCAGAUGCUGUCGGACGAUGGUGAGAGCGGACCUCCUCCUCUGGUGUUUUUUGACCUGGAGACCACUGGACUGAGUCGUGACUGCGAGAUGGUGCAGCUGGCCGCCGUCAGCUCCUCGCACUCCCUGAACCUGUACGUGGUGCCGCAGGGCCGCAUGGACUGGGGGGCCACGAGGGCCACGGGGCUUACUGUCCACCACCACAGGCUGUUUCUGCACAAGAGGCCACUGCUGUGCACCCACCCGACUGAGGCACUCCUGGCCUUCCUCUGCUUCAUACACAUGUGUCAGAAGCCCCCACAGCGCCCUCUCCUGGUGGGACACAACGCCCGGGCCUUCGACAUGCCGGUGCUGCUGCGCGCACUGGAGAGGCGGGGCCUGCGGGGGGCGCUGGAGGACGCAGUGGGCGGAGCCGUGGACAGCCUGGCCCUUUCCCGGGACUUGCUGCGGGACAGCGGCGUGAGCAGCUUCAAACAAGAGGCGCUGGUAAGGCAGCUGCUGGGCGAGGACUACACGGCCCAUGAUGCACUGCAGGACGCCCGGGCGCUGCAGAGGCUGGUGCUGCAGGGGCUGAAGCCACGGGCGGAGGACCUGAGGCGACACACCUUCAGCCUGGGGAGCUGACGGGACGCUGACAAGGAGGAGACUACUUUAUCAUGAAGUGUCUGCUAUUGUCAAUUAAUCAACAUUAUAUUUAUUAUCAGUAAAAAAAACAAUGUGAGGACACAGUCUGGUCAUGUUUAUUAUACAAUAUUUACAAAAAAAAUCUCACAUUCAGUGCCUUUAAAACCAUAUCAAUAACAAGAAUUCUUCAUCCACAUAGAUUCUUUUGGAAAUGGUUCUUCAUUUUUAAGCAAGUAAGAGUUUCAGAAAAUAAAAGUUCCUUUUUCAGAGCUAGGUGUAUAAUUAUUACCGUGAGUGAGUUUUUGACCAUAUUGUUAUUUUUCUUUACCUUUUCAAUCUCCAAACUGUAAAAGUGUUGGAUUAAAGUGUCCCAGGUGUUGGCCAGAGGAAGUGUGGCCAAAGCAGGCCCACGCUCUGAAAUGAUCAUUAUGCAGUUUCUUUCUCUCACACAUCGGGCUGCAAAAUGUAACAUUUUCGUACAUUUUCCACAAACUUUCAUGGAACUUUCGCUUAAAAAUUUAAAAAAAAUUACUGCGAACUAUAAAUAUAUUUUAAAAAUAUAUAUUUAUUGUAUUUAAUUAAAGUGAACCAACAAACAAAAUUGCAAAGGCAACCCUUUAACUAAAAAGUCACUAUUCAGUGUGCAACAAAGAUUUGUUAAACAUCCAAAUUAUUUAUACUGUAUUUGGAUUAAGCUAAUAAAACAAAGAUCCUGAGGCACAUUUGUACAGGAUCUUAUUCCUCCAAGCAGAGGGCAGAGAGCUAAUAAUACAAUAAAAUAAAUAUCUAACAAAAAAUCUAAAAAUAUAUAUAUAUAUCCACACAAAAAAUAUUUUUUUUUAAAAUAUAAAUCGAUUUGACCUACCAACUCGAUUUUUAAAUCAAAUCGAUUUUUUUCCCAGCCCUAUGGUGAACUACUAGUUACCAAUUAGUUAUGUUUUUGAACAAUAAAACAUGCAUUUGUGUGAUCACACCCCAGACCCGUAGUCCCCUAUAGUCAUGACAAAACAUAACACAAUUUUCAUAAACUACAUUCUUUCUAACGCGCAGUGGGACAAACAGCAAAGUUUUAGUGGUUUUGUUUCAUCACACUGUGGUUGGUUAAAUUCACCUGUCUGUAACUCAGACCCCGACAGACACUGACAGUACGAGGAGUGGGCGGGGUCUGUGUCUGACACAGCUGCAUUAAACAGAACACACCUAAAUGGUCGACUUUUAACCUCUUAACAACCGCCUUAACCGAGCACAUUUUCUCCAGUUCAGCUUUAUCCAAAUCUAAAAGCUUCUUGACUGGAGCUUACAGCCUAUAGGCCAGUGUAGCACCUCCUCUGAAAGCUAAGACCUACAAAACUCAUCUAAGAUUUUCCUUGCGUUGCUGUGUUGUCGUCACUUUUUUGGUCAAGUUUUUAUUGUGUUUUUUGUCAUGUUUUUGUUGUUUUUAGUUGCUUUUGUCACAUUUUCAUUGCAUUUUUGUACGUUUUUUGUCAUUUUUGGUGCCUGUUUUGGUUUUGUCGUUUUUAGUUAGCUUUCUUCUUCGCUCUUCAGACCCUGGGGUCAGAUGUCGCCAAAAAUAUUUCAGCGUAUAACUAUCAAAUCAAAUCAAAUGUUUGUGCUUCACUUUAUAUCUGUCUGUAAAGAAGCAACCUUCAGAUGUGUUUAUUCCAGUUAAUUUCCAUGGAAAAUGUCUGGAAUUGUGCAACCCUACUCACACACACCUUCAAGGAAAAGACAUCUGCCACUGAAAAGUCAAAAACAGUUGAAAGCUGGUCAAAGGGAUCAUGAAAUUUCAAAAAUAUUGGGACCGGAACUCAGAACCAUCCAACGUUUUGUUGCCAUUAGACAACAAAGUCACAUGAUGGCGAAUUUACAGAAACUAAACACAAAGUAAUUGAAGAAAAAUCCAGCGUGAAGCCGCCAGGAAUCCAUCACCUACCAGCGCAGUCAUUCACCAGCUGUAACCGACCUGAAGUGUCCAGAAGUACAAGGUGUUCAGUGCUGAGAGACUUUGUCAAUGUGAGAAAGUAUGGAAAGCUGGUAGACCCCUCAUUUUUCCCCAUUUUGAAAAAAAUGUUUUGCCUAAUGUUUGCCCCAUUUUUCCAAAUUUUCUUUAAAUUAUUGCCCCAAUUUUUUCUCCUUUUCACAAUUUUUUCCCCUCAUUUUUGCUCAUCUUUAUUACUAAUAUAGUUUUACUGUUAAUACAUUUCUUCCCCAAUUUAUUCACAGUUUUUUC
rnacentral:lncRNA from 1 species